AAAAGGCUCCCUUAUGAAGGGGCUCUCCAGAAUGAAUACAGUUAACAAGAGAUGCUUGGAGCAGAGGGGACUGACUCACACUGAGCUGUCCUCCAUCCCUCGGAGGCGGCCUGGGAGCCGCCCACCUCUCCCACACACCAACCUCUCGGCCCAGACUUUUAGCUGCAGCAUUUGGAUGGAUGAGAAACUGGCCAUUGAGAGGAGAGCUGAAUGACCAGGUCUGCCUUCUUGCUGCUGGAGGAAGAAUUAGUCACUGGGGUUACUGCUGGCUGCUGGCAACUGGCAAUGUCACGGGAAGGAAAUGCACUUGGGAUGAGAAUGUCUGCACUUUCAACAUGUCUCCCGAAAACUUGGAGAGUCCACAUCGAGGACUGAACAGCGAUCCCAGCACCAUUCUAGAUCCCUGAUGGGGUGUUUUUCCACACCCCUCCCCCCAUUCCUUCUUUUCUUUCCCUUACAUUUUUGUCCAAGUUAAAUUCUGGCACAGCUAGUCCUAAGUAGUUUAUAAUUAUAAUUAUAGUUUCAUCAUUAUUUCCACCGUGUGACACAGGAACUGUUAGUAUCAGCACCAUUCCACCUUCAAAUAAGUCACCGGGCACGGAGUGGCCUCGUUGUCUGCUCAGGGACAUACAGGAUGAUGUAAGUAGAGCAAGAAUUAACAGGUGGGCUGCACAGCCAUCCCAUGAAGUUAAGGCACUACAGGAAACAGUGGCAAUGUGUUUUCACAUGUCUCGCACCAUCUGACACUCAUACUUUCUACGAGACAAGGACAGUUACUACGAUUGAAACCAAGUACAGAGUUCAAGUUUUCAUACUAAGUGAGUGAACAGAGCUUGAGAGCCAGAUUCACUGUGCUUCAUGGAUUUCUAAUGACUAAGGUGAGUGCUGAGGAAUGGGCUGGCUGGAGCAAGGAAGAAUCUUUAAGGAAGAAAUGAUUUUUUACAUUCCUUCUUUGACAGUUGGACAGAAACUCUCUCUCUCCUGUCCUCUUUCCUCUUUCCCUCUCUCCCGUUUCCUCUCUUCUCCUCCCUUUUCCUUUCCCUCCACUCCCCAGCAUGUGUGUGUCUCUAUGUCUGUGUAUUAGUCAUAAAAUUAGCUCUCAGAAACUUGAGGUUUUAAUAAAACAUGAAAAACAUUUUUACCAGCACCCUCCCUUCCCUCUGGGAUCUUAGGUGCUACACAAUUUAAGGAAAUGUAAUCCAUAUGCUUGAUUAUUCAUACUUCCAUCAUCAAAAAUAUUGUUGAUUCUUUGAGAAACAUUUGAUUUUCUGGAUGUCAUUCUUUUUAGAGUAUAGAGGAAGAGU